CAGCAGCCGCGGUAAUACGAAGGGUGCAAGCGUUACUCGGAAUNAUUGGGCGUAAAGGGCUCGUAGGCGGUUCGUCGCGUCCGGUGUGAAAGUCCAUCGCUUAACGGUGGAUCCGCGCCGGGUACGGGCGGGCUUGAGUGCGGUAGGGGAGACUGGAAUUCCCGGUGUAACGGUGGAAUGUGUAGAUAUCGGGAAGAACACCAAUGGCGAAGGCAGGUCUCUGGGCCGUCACUGACGCUGAGGAGCGAAAGCGUGGGGAGCGAACAGGAUUAGAUACCCUGGUAGUCCACGCCGUAAACGGUGGAUGCUGGAUGUGGGGACCAUUCCACGGUCUCCGUGUCGGAGCCAACGCGUUAAGCAUCCCGCCUGGGGAGU
rnacentral:rRNA from 1 species